CUGAAAUCCCUCGUAUCUCUCUUUCUCAAUCCCUAAAUUUCUCCAUGCCUCCGAUCUCCAGCCUCUCAUUGCACCUCUCGCACGAUCGACUAUCGCCUUUAGCCUUUCAGAAUAAAUGGCCUUUGAAUCGAGCUCAUCCUCGUCUCCUCUGGUGGGUCAAUGGAAGUUGAGCGCCACCUCUGCUUGCUUGGGACGCCGCCUCCUUCGGUCCCAUCGCCCCCGCUAGCCGGGGUGAAGAAGUUGAGCACGGACUUUGCUUGGCAUUCUUUCACUGAUGGUGCAGAGGUCAUGUGAGAAAGAUAGUCCUUUAUGCUAUUCUAUUUUUGUAUAGGUGUUUCACUUUAAGAAGUUCCAUAUACUUUUGUCAAGAAAAGUUCUGAGAGGAUUGGAUCUACAAACACUUUGAUGCUGCAAACAAAAAUGAAGAAGGCAGAGAUGAACAUAAAUGAAAAGGGUUUGAUAUCUGCUUUACAACACUUGAAUCCAUUCAAAUUGAAUGGAUGUUGUAUUGAAGAAAAGCAGCUGCAGUUGGUUUUUGAAUAAUAGCCUUGCUCAUUCUCUAUUUGCUGAGGGUGCAGUGCAAAACAACUGAAGCAGCCAAUAUUGUGAGCUAUUUUUUUUGUUCCUGUUCUUGACCUGAAUUUGGUUUUUCAAGUAUGCAAGGUGCACCGAAUUAGUCUCCAUCGACAUGCGCUGUGUUGCACUAUCCUGAGCACUAUGGCUAAAACUCUACUUGGAUAUUUAAGAGAACCAAUACAAUUAUAUAAGAGAACCAAGGCAACAAGAAACUCUUCAAGUUGUUGGGUAUUAUUUUCUUUCUUGCUUGUAAGAAUUAUGUACAGUGAUGAUUUGAUGUAUUAUUUACAUUGAGAAUAAUGAAUUUUUAUUGAGAAUUAUUUAGUCUCAUGGGG